rnacentral:tRNA from 1 species
GCCCGGGUGGUGGAAUUGGUAGACACACCAUCUUGAGGUGGUGGCGCCGAAAGGCGUGCGGGUUCGAGUCCCGCCUCGGGCA